CGGCCACCGUGAGACGACGAGCCACCAAGAGUGUGGUGGCUUGUCACACAGCAACAGAAAACAGAACCGUGAGGGAAUAAAUCUCUGCUCUAAGCCACCCAGUGUGGGGUCUUUCCCUACAGCAGGUGGAGGGAAUCAACAGGCCCACCCUGGUCUCACUUAUGAAGCCCCGUAAGCAGCGCCUAGGGGUGACUCCCAAACCUUGAGGGUCCCCCGCUGCUCCCAACACCUCGGCCAGGAAAGGACGGCAGUGGGUGCAAACAGCUGCCGCGUUCUAAACAUUCAGCAGUGAGCCUCCGAAAGGGUGUCCCCCAGGUGCCUGACAGCGUGCUAGGCGCCAGGAACACAGCCGUGACCUGUGCUGGAAUUGGCCUGCGUAGCCGUGCCCUGUGACGUCGGAGGAGGGGAGUGCUGCCCUGUGCGGGAAAAUAAAGCAGGGGAAGAGAGGGAGGGCAGGGGGGUUUCCGGUAAGAUGGUCAGAAAAGGCCAUUUGAGGAGGGGACACUGGGACCCCAGGGAAAUCAAGAGGCACGUUUUACAAGGACGGGGGAGAAGAGCACAGUUGACCCUUGAACCAGGCAGGGCUUGAGGGACGUCACCCCCCACGCGGCUGAAAACCCCUGUGUAACUCCUGACACCCCCAAAACUUAACUACUCAUAGCCUGCUGUUGACGAGGAGCCUUCCCGUAACACAGUCAAUAAACACAUAUUUUGUAUUGGGUUUGUGUAUGUACCACACGUGUUUGUGUACGUAUUAUAUGCUGUAUUCUUACAGUAACGUAAGCUAGGGGUCCCUGGGUGGC